UUACGGAGGAAGAAAAGAGUUAUCGCCGGCAGAAGCAUUGAGUUUUUAUAGUGAAAGGAAUGGUUUCAGGUGGCAUAGUAUGAGCCAGACUUGUUACAAAAUGUGAAACGGGUUAGUCCUUUGUUGGUGGAAGUUGUUUCCAACAUGCUUACCAUCCAAAUGACACUUUUUAUGCUCCCUACAAAAAAACUCCAAGUUACUCAGCCUCCUGAGUUACAUGUUGAGGGACAAGGUGGAAUCAUGGGACUCCAAAUGGGCACUCUCACCAAUAAUGUGCUAGGGAAAAUAAACUCAUGGCGCAGUCUUUCAAAAAAUGUAACUUAAGGUAUGCAGGGAGACAGGCAUGACAGUCUUUAUGGGAUUGAUUUCGUGGACAUACGUCAAAACAAAAUCCAAUCUACGUUAUUUUUAGAUAAACUGCACCACCUCAUAUGAUCCAGGGGCUAUGGCUCCUGUUUCCACAGAUCUCAAUAUAGGGAGCCUUUCUCUUGAACAAUCAAAGGUGCCGAACGGUCUCUCUUGUUCACUGACCAUGAGGAAUUCAUCACAAAGUGAGCAAAAAGGUAGUACGUUUACUGGUAAAUCAUUCUCUAAGACCACAUCCUUUCUUCUGUUGAGGAAGCCUAUUCAUAUGGUACAGUCACCCAAAAAUCCCAAAAGCAGCAGCAAGAUGGAAUAAACUCUCCAGAUAGGCUAUGCUUUCUGAGCUUCAAAUACACUGGUUCACCUGGGCUUACAAACAACAGCUCAAGUGAUGGGAAUCAAGAAAUAGAUAGGUUUCAUGGACCAGUCAGUGGAAGGACAGAUAGAUUGAAAAUGUUUAACAAUUCUAGCAUAAAUUUCAGCAUGGCAAAAGCUGCAGUGAUAUUAGCACCAACCUUAUUGGAACUUUACAAAGUUUUAAAGAUCAAUCAACCUUUCUAAGAUUGAAGAAGAAUAUAGGAGGAAAGAUAUUAGAGCAUAUAAUUGUCCAAUGUAAAGUCUUUAGUGAGAUUGAUGAAGUAGGCCAUACCCUUGAUCUAACACUCUUCAGUACAUAUGAACAACUUUAUGACAGUCUGGCAAAAAUGUUUGGUAUUGAAAAAUUUAAGCUUUCCAAUCAUGUUCUCUACAAGGACAUUGGCAACACUCUGAGGCAUGCUGGGGAGGAGACCUAUGGAGAUUUUGUGAAAACAGUGAGGAGGAUUACAAUCACUUCUGAUUCAGGCAGGGACAUGAUGUCAAGAUAAUUGAUAGCAUUUAUAAAACUGCAUGCCCUAUUCCUGCAUUAUGAUGUCAAUUAUUGUCUAAUAAGUAAAUUUGUUAUUAUAUGUGAGGGACUGCAUAAUGUGAGAGGGAGUUCUGAAGGCAGACAACUUAGAUAUCAACCUGUGAUUAGGUUUGACGUGA